UUAUCUAAGACGGAAAAACACAGUAUUUGGUUGUUAGUGGGCUGUCCGAAGCUGAUUUAGUGGCCCAUUAAGAACUAUUUUUGCUCUGGGCUUGGACCGUCGAACGAGUGGACCUCGUGAUGAUGCCAUAUUGAGCUGGAAAUCCACAACUUUGGGACCCAGAAUAACAUGCCAACAAUGGCCUCUGAAGACCUUCCAAGUUGAGGAUCCCAUUGUAAGGAAUCAGCUCCUUGAGUGUAGCCGUGCCUUCCUCUGCCACCAAAUCGGCUAAAGCGACAUCCUCGGCGACAGCUUCAGCCACCUCGACGCCUUUCAUAUCAUCAUCAUACUCCACUCUAAAAAUUCCAUCCUCAUCCUUACCCAACCUCCCAGCAAGCUGAUGGAAUGGCUCAAGAACCAUCUCGAGGCCAUCCUUAAGCUUCUCCACCGUCUCAGGGAACUUCACCUCCCCGCCAUUGUCGCCGUAGAGGAUGAGCUUUUGGUUGUAGUAGAAGGCAAGAUAAGGGAGGUCAAAUGUGAUCAAUUGCUUCAGGAAGAUCACCUGCCAUGGAUUUUGAACAAACAAACAAAGACACCUAAAUGAAAAAUAGAGAUUUAAUUGAGGAUGUGGAGAGAAAGGGAAAAGGAUUUGAGUGUUUUAUAGAGGAAGAAAAAAAAGUAAGUAAUAUGGUUGGUAGUGCAUUUAUGGGGUUCAUAAGGUGCAGUUGUGACAUAUUAAUGUUUGUCUUGAAAGUUGAGAACCCACUGCCCACUGGCUCUGCCCUUAGAUGGAAGUUAGGAGAAAUUACAUUGCCUUCCUCUUGCUGUAAAAUAAAUUAUAAUAAUUAGGCUUCCUUCCCUAAUAAUUUAGGACAUUUCUUUGUUUUUAAAAAACAGAAAACAAAAAAUCUUUCAGUUUUUGUUUUUAAA